UUUGACCCUCAAACGGGCUGCGGAAAGUUAUGGCACGUAAAAAAGAUCGAAAGCGGAUUCUCAAGGUGUUUUUGAUGCUUUCUUAACGCCGUUAACCUCGAUGCACUUUUUCGCUCGAAACAAAACGGCAAGAAAAUCAUGUGGGCCCCACGGCCUUACACUUGGAUUGGCCGGGGAAAGGAUAUAUAGAAACGAGAGUGAUGUACUGACGGGUGCGAUCAUACCAGCACUAAUGCACCGGAUCCCAUCAGAACUCCGCAGUGAAGCGUGCUUGGGCGAGAGUAGUACUAGGAUGGGUGACCUCCCGGGAAGUCCUCGUGUUGCACCCCUUUUUAUUUUAUAAUUUUUUUUUAGCCUAAAACGAGUCUAAACUUGAAAACCUCAUAACUUUUGAACCGUGAGGAACUACGUCGCCCAUAGCACCAUUGAGAAAGCCCCAGAAACCAUAAUGGGCGGUGAAUAGGGGGCGCAAUUUUUCGGGCUCAAAUUCAGCCGUUUUGACCCUCAAACGGGCUGCGGAAAGUUAUGGCACGUAAAAAAGAUCGAAAGCGGAUUCUCAAGGUGUUUUUGAUGCUUUCUUAACGCCGUUAACCUCGAUGCACUUUUUCGCUCGAAACAAAACGGCAAGAAAAUCAUGCGCGCCCCACGGCCUUACACUUGGAUUGGCCGCGAAAAGGAUAUAUAGAAACGAGAGUGAUGUACUGACGGGUGCGAUCAUACCAGCACUAAUGCACCGGAUCCCAUCAGAACUCCGCAGUUAAGCGUGCUUGGGCGAGAGUAGUAGUACUAGGAUGGGUGACCUCCCGGGAAGUCCUCGUGUUGCACCCCUUUUUAUUUUUUAAUUUUUUUUUAGCCUAAAACGAGUCUAAACUUGAAAACCUCAUAACUUUUGAACCGUGAGGAACUACGUCGCCCAUAGCACCAUUUCGGAAAGCCCCAGAAACCAUAAUGGGCGGUGAAUAGGGGGCGCAAUUUUUCGGGCUCAAAUUCAGCCGUUUUGACCCUCAAACGGGCUGCGGAAAGUUAUGGCACGUAAAAAAGAUCGAAAGCGGAUUCUCAAGGUGUUUUUGAUGCUUUCUUAACGCCGUUAACCUCGAUGCACUUUUUCGCUCGAAACAAAACGGCAAGAAAAUCAUGCGCGCCCACGGCCUUACACUUGGAUUGGCCGCGAAAAGGAUAUAUAGAAACGAGAGUGAUGUACUGACGGGUGCGAUCAUACCAGCACUAAUGCACCGGAUCCCAUCAGAACUCCGCAGCUAAGCGUGCUUGGGCGAGAGUAGUACUAGGAUGGGUGACCUCCCGGGAAGUCCUCGUGUUGCACCCCUUUUAUUUUUUAAUUUUUUUUUAGCCUAAAACGAGUCUAAACUUGAAAACCCCAUAACUUUUGAACCGUGAGGAACUACGUCGCCCAUAGCACCAUUUCGGAAAGCCCCAGAAACCAUAAUGGGCGGUGAAUAGGGGGCGCAAUUUUUCGGGCUCAAAUUCAGCCGUUUUGACCCUCAAACGGGCUGCGGAAAGUUAUGGCACGUAAAAAAGAUCGAAAGCGGAUUCUCAAGGUGUUUUUGAUGCUUUCUUAACGCCGUUAACCUCGAUGCACUUUUUCGCUCGAAACAAAACGGCAAGAAAAUCAUGCGCGCCCCACGGCCUUACACUUGGAUUGGCCGCGAAAAGGAUAUAUAGAAACGAGAGUGAUGUACUGACGGGUGCGAUCAUACCAGCACUAAUGCACCGGAUCCCAUCAGAACUCCGCAGUUAAGCGUGCUUGGGCGAGAGUAGUACUAGGAUGGGUGACCUCCCGGGAAGUCCUCGUGUUGCACCCCUUUUUAUUUUUUAAUUUUUUUUUAGCCUAAAACGAGUCUAAACUUGAAAACCUCAUAACUUUUGAACCGUGAGGAACUACGUCGCCCAUAGCACCAUUUCGGAGAGCCCCAGAAACCAUAAUGGGCGGUGAAUAGGGGGGGCGCAAUUUUUCGGGCUCAAAUUCAGCCGUUUUGACCCUCAAACGGGCUGCGGAAAGUUAUGGCACGUAAAAAAGAUCGAAAGCGGAUUCUCAAGGUGUUUUUGAUGCUUUCUUAACGCCGUUAACCUCGAUGCACUUUUUCGCUCGAAACAAAACGGCAAGAAAAUCAUGCGCGCCCCACGGCCUUACACUUGGAUUGGCCGCGAAAAGGAUAUAUAGAAACGAGAGUGAUGUACUGACGGGUGCGAUCAUACCAGCACUAAUGCACCGGAUCCCAUCAGAACUCCGCAGUUAAGCGUGCUUGGGCGAGAGUAGUACUAGGAUGGGUGACCUCCCGGGAAGUCCUCGUGUUGCACCCCUUUUUAUUUUUAAUUUUUUUUUAGCCUAAAACGAGUCUAAACUUGAAAACCUCAUAACUUUUGAACCGUGAGGAACUACGUCGCCCAUAGCACCAUUUCGGAGAGCCCCAGAAACCAUAAUGGGCGGUGAAUAGGGGGCGCAAUUUUUCGGGCUCAAAUUCAGCCGUUUUGACCCUCAAACGGGCUGCGGAAAGUUAUGGCACGUAAAAAAGAUCGAAAGCGGAUUCUCAAGGUGUUUUUGAUGCUUUCUUAACGCCGUUAACCUCGAUGCACUUUUUCGCUCGAAACAAAACGGCAAGAAAAUCAUGCGCGCCCCACGGCCUUACACUUGGAUUGGCCGCGAAAAGGAUAUAUAGAAACGAGAGUGAUGUACUGACGGGUGCGAUCAUACCAGCACUAAUGCACCGGAUCCCAUCAGAACUCCGCAGUUAAGCGUGCUUGGGCGAGAGUAGUACUAGGAUGGGUGACCUCCCGGGAAGUCCUCGUGUUGCACCCCUUUUUAUUUUUUAAUUUUUUUUAGCCUAAAACGAGUCUAAACUUGAAAACCUCAUAACUUUUGAACCGUGAGGAACUACGUCGCCCAUAGCACCAUUUCGGAGAGCCCCAGAAACCAUAAUGGGCGGUGAAUAGGGGGCGCAAUUUUUCGGGCUCAAAUUCAGCCGUUUUGACCCUCAAACGGGCUGCGGAAAGUUAUGGCACGUAAAAAAGAUCGAAAGCGGAUUCUCAAGGUGUUUUUGAUGCUUUCUUAACGCCGUUAACCUCGAUGCACUUUUUCGCUCGAAACAAAACGGCAAGAAAAUCAUGCGCGCCCCACGGCCUUACACUUGGAUUGGCCGCGAAAAGGAUAUAUAGAAACGAGAGUGAUGUACUGACGGGUGCGAUCAUACCAGCACUAAUGCACCGGAUCCCAUCAGAACUCCGCAGUUAAGCGUGCUUGGGCGAGAGUAGUACUAGGAUGGGUGACCUCCGGGAAGUCCUCGUGUUGCACCCCUUUUUAUUUUUUAAUUUUUUUUAGCCUAAAACGAGUCUAAACUUGAAAACCUCAUAACUUUUGAACCGUGAGGAACUACGUCGCCCAUAGCACCAUUUCGGAGAGCCCCAGAAACCAUAAUGGGCGGUGAAUAGGGGGCGCAAUUUUUCGGGCUCAAAUUCAGCCGUUUUGACCCUCAAACGGGCUGCGGAAAGUUAUGGCACGUAAAAAAGAUCGAAAGCGGAUUCUCAAGGUGUUUUUGAUGCUUUCUUAACGCCGUUAACCUCGAUGCACUUUUUCGCUCGAAACAAAACGGCAAGAAAAUCAUGCGCGCCCCACGGCCUUACACUUGGAUUGGCCGCGAAAAGGAUAUAUAGAAACGAGAGUGAUGUACUGACGGGUGCGAUCAUACCAGCACUAAUGCACCGGAUCCCAUCAGAACUCCGCAGUUAAGCGUGCUUGGGCGAGAGUAGUACUAGGAUGGGUGACCUCCCGGGAAGUCCUCGUGUUGCACCCCUUUUUAUUUUUUAAUUUUUUUUUGCCUAAAACGAGUCUAAACUUGAAAACCUCAUAACUUUUGAACCGUGAGGAACUACGUCGCCCAUAGCACCAUUUCGGAGAGCCCCAGAAACCAUAAUGGGCGGUGAAUAGGGGGCGCAAUUUUUCGGGCUCAAAUUCAGCCGUUUUGACCCUCAAACGGGCUGCGGAAAGUUAUGGCACGUAAAAAAGAUCGAAAGCGGAUUCUCAAGGUGUUUUUGAUGCUUUCUUAACGCCGUUAACCUCGAUGCACUUUUUCGCUCGAAACAAAACGGCAAGAAAAUCAUGCGCGCCCCACGGCCUUACACUUGGAUUGGCCGCGAAAAGGAUAUAUAGAAACGAGAGUGAUGUACUGACGGGUGCGAUCAUACCAGCACUAAUGCACCGGAUCCCAUCAGAACUCCGCAGUUAAGCGUGCUUGGGCGAGAGUAGUACUAGGAUGGGUGACCUCCCGGGAAGUCCUCGUGUUGCACCCCUUUUUAUUUUUUAAUUUUUUUUUAGCCUAAAACGAGUCUAAACUUGAAAACCUCAUAACUUUUGAACCGUGAGGAACUACGUCGCCCAUAGCACCAUUUCGGAAAGCCCCAGAAACCAUAAUGGGCGGUGAAUAGGGGGCGCAAUUUUUCGGGCUCAAAUUCAGCCCGUUUUGACCCUCAAACGGGCUGCGGAAAGUUAUGGCACGUAAAAAAGAUCGAAAGCGGAUUCUCAAGGUGUUUUUGAUGCUUUCUUAACGCCGUUAACCUCGAUGCACUUUUUCGCUCGAAACAAAACGGCAAGAAAAUCAUGCGCGCCCCACGGCCUUACACUUGGAUUGGCCGCGAAAAGGAUAUAUAGAAACGAGAGUGAUGUACUGACGGGUGCGAUCAUACCAGCACUAAUGCACCGGAUCCCAUCAGAACUCCGCAGUUAAGCGUGCUUGGGCGAGAGUAGUACUAGGAUGGGUGACCUCCCGGGAAGUCCUCGUGUUGCACCCCUUUUUAUUUUUUAAUUUUUUUUAGCCUAAAACGAGUCUAAACUUGAAAACCUCAUAACUUUUGAACCGUGAGGAACUACGUCGCCCAUAGCACCAUUUCGGAGCCCCAGAAACCAUAAUGGGCGGGUGAAUAGGGGGCGCAAUUUUUCGGGCUCAAAUUCAGCCGUUUUGACCCUCAAACGGGCUGCGGAAAGUUAUGGCACGUAAAAAAGAUCGAAAGCGGAUUCUCAAGGUGUUUUUGAUGCUUUCUUAACGCCGUUAACCUCGAUGCACUUUUUCGCUCGAAACAAAACGGCAAGAAAAUCAUGCGCGCCCCACGGCCUUACACUUGGAUUGGCCGCGAAAAGGAUAUAUAGAAACGAGAGUGAUGUACUGACGGGUGCGAUCAUACCAGCACUAAUGCACCGGAUCCCAUCAGAACUCCGCAGUUAAGCGUGCUUGGGCGAGAGUAGUACUAGGAUGGGUGACCUCCCGGGAAGUCCUCGUGUUGCACCCCUUUUUAUUUUUUAAUUUUUUUUUAGCCUAAAACGAGUCUAAACUUGAAAACCUCAUAACUUUUGAACCGUGAGGAACUACGUCGCCCAUAGCACCAUUUCGGAGAGCCCCAGAAACCAUAAUGGGCGGUGAAUAGGGGGCGCAAUUUUUCGGGCUCAAAUUCAGCCGUUUUGACCCUCAAACGGGCUGCGGAAAGUUAUGGCACGUAAAAAAGAUCGAAAGCGGAUUCUCAAGGUGUUUUUGAUGCUUUCUUAACGCCGUUAACCUCGAUGCACUUUUUCGCUCGAAACAAAACGGCAAGAAAAUCAUGCGCGCCCCACGGCCUUACACUUGGAUUGGCCGCGAAAAGGAUAUAUAGAAACGAGAGUGAUGUACUGACGGGUGCGAUCAUACCAGCACUAAUGCACCGGAUCCCAUCAGAACUCCGCAGUUAAGCGUGCUUGGGCGAGAGUAGUACUAGGAUGGGUGACCUCCCGGGAAGUCCUCGUGUUGCACCCCUUUUUAUUUUUUAAUUUUUUUUUAGCCUAAAACGAGUCUAAACUUGAAAACCUCAUAACUUUUGAACCGUGAGGAACUACGUCGCCCAUAGCACCAUUUCGGAGAGCCCCAGAAACCAUAAUGGGCGGUGAAUAGGGGGCGCAAUUUUUCGGGCUCAAAUUCAGCCGUUUUGACCCUCAAACGGGCUGCGGAAAGUUAUGGCACGUAAAAAAGAUCGAAAGCGGAUUCUCAAGGUGUUUUUGAUGCUUUCUUAACGCCGUUAACCUCGAUGCACUUUUUCGCUCGAAACAAAACGGCAAGAAAAUCAUGCGCGCCCCACGGCCUUACACUUGGAUUGGCCGCGAAAAGGAUAUAUAGAAACGAGAGUGAUGUACUGACGGGUGCGAUCAUACCAGCACUAAUGCACCGGAUCCCAUCAGAACUCCGCAGUUAAGCGUGCUUGGGCGAGAGUAGUACUAGGAUGGGUGACCUCCCGGGAAGUCCUCGUGUUGCACCCCUUUUUUAUUUUUUAAUUUUUUUUAGCCUAAAACGAGUCUAAACUUGAAAACCUCAUAACUUUUGAACCGUGAGGAACUACGUCGCCCAUAGCACCAUUUCGGAAAGCCCCAGAAACCAUAAUGGGCGGUGAAUAGGGGGCGCAAUUUUUCGGGCUCAAAUUCAGCCGUUUUGACCCUCAAACGGGCUGCGGAAAGUUAUGGCACGUAAAAAAGAUCGAAAGCGGAUUCUCAAGGUGUUUUUGAUGCUUUCUUAACGCCGUUAACCUCGAUGCACUUUUUCGCUCGAAACAAAACGGCAAGAAAAUCAUGCGCGCCCCACGGCCUUACACUUGGAUUGGCCGCGAAAAGGAUAUAUAGAAACGAGAGUGAUGUACUGACGGGUGCGAUCAUACCAGCACUAAUGCACCGGAUCCCAUCAGAACUCCGCAGUUAAGCGUGCUUGGGCGAGAGUAGUACUAGGAUGGGUGACCUCCCGGGAAGUCCUCGUGUUGCACCCCUUUUUUUUUUUAAUUUUUUUUUAGCCUAAAACGAGUCUAAACUUGAAAACCUCAUAACUUUUGAACCGUGAGGAACUACGUCGCCCAUAGCACCAUUUCGGAGAGCCCCAGAAACCAUAAUGGGCGGUGAAUAGGGGGCGCAAUUUUUCGGGCUCAAAUUCAGCCGUUUUGACCCUCAAACGGGCUGCGGAAAGUUAUGGCACGUAAAAAAGAUCGAAAGCGGAUUCUCAAGGUGUUUUGAUGCUUUCUUAACGCCGUUAACCUCGAUGCACUUUUUCGCUCGAAACAAAACGGCAAGAAAAUCAUGUGGGCCCCACGGCCUUACACUUGGAUUGGCCGCGAAAAGGAUAUAUAGAAACGAGAGUGAUGUACUGACGGGUGCGAUCAUACCAGCACUAAUGCACCGGAUCCCAUCAGAACUCCGCAGUUAAGCGUGCUUGGGCGAGAGUAGUACUAGGAUGGGUGACCUCCCGGGAAGUCCUCGUGUUGCACCCCUUUUUAUUUUUUAAUUUUUUUUUAGCCUAAAACGAGUCUAAACUUGAAAACCUCAUAACUUUUGAACCGUGAGGAACUACGUCGCCCAUAGCACCAUUUCGGAGAGCCCCAGAAACCAUAAUGGGGCGGUGAAUAGGGGGCGCAAUUUUUCGGGCUCAAAUUCAGCCGUUUUGACCCUCAAACGGGCUGCGGAAAGUUAUGGCACGUAAAAAAGAUCGAAAGCGGAUUCUCAAGGUGUUUUUGAUGCUUUCUUAACGCCGUUAACCUCGAUGCACUUUUUCGCUCGAAACAAAACGGCAAGAAAAUCAUGCGCGCCCCACGGCCUUACACUUGGAUUGGCCGCGAAAAGGAUAUAUAGAAACGAGAGUGAUGUACUGACGGGUGCGAUCAUACCAGCACUAAUGCACCGGAUCCCAUCAGAACUCCGCAGUUAAGCGUGCUUGGGCGAGAGUAGUACUAGGAUGGGUGACCUCCCGGGAAGUCCUCGUGUUGCACCCCUUUUUAUUUUUUAUUUUUUUUUUAGCCUAAAACGAGUCUAAACUUGAAAACCUCAUAACUUUUGAACCGUGAGGAACUACGUCGCCCAUAGCACCAUUUCGGAAGAGCCCCAGAAACCAUAAUGGGCGGUGAAUAGGGGGCGCAAUUUUUCGGGCUCAAAUUCAGCCGUUUUGACCCUCAAACGGGCUGCGGAAAGUUAUGGCACGUAAAAAAGAUCGAAAGCGGAUUCUCAAGGUGUUUUUGAUGCUUUCUUAACGCCGUUAACCUCGAUGCACUUUUUCGCUCGAAACAAAACGGCAAGAAAAUCAUGCGCGCCCCACGGCCUUACACUUGGAUUGGCCGCGAAAAGGAUAUAUAGAAACGAGAGUGAUGUACUGACGGGUGCGAUCAUACCAGCACUAAUGCACCGGAUCCCAUCAGAACUCCGCAGCUAAGCGUGCUUGGGCGAGAGUAGUACUAGGAUGGGUGACCUCCCGGGAAGUCCUCGUGUUGCACCCCUUUUUAUUUUUUAAUUUUUUUUUUUGCCUAAAACGAGUCUAAACUUGAAAACCUCAUAACUUUUGAACCGUGAGGAACUACGUCGCCCAUAGCACCAUUUCGGAGAGCCCCAGAAACCAUAAUGGGCGGUGAAUAGGGGGCGCAAUUUUUCGGGCUCAAAUUCAGCCGUUUUGACCCUCAAACGGGCUGCGGAAAGUUAUGGCACGUAAAAAAGAUCGAAAGCGGAUUCUCAAGGUGUUUUUGAUGCUUUCUUAACGCCGUUAACCUCGAUGCACUUUUUCGCUCGAAACAAAACGGCAAGAAAAUCAUGCGCGCCCCACGGCCUUACACUUGGAUUGGCCGCGAAAAGGAUAUAUAGAAACGAGAGUGAUGUACUGACGGGUGCGAUCAUACCAGCACUAAUGCACCGGAUCCCAUCAGAACUCCGCAGUUAAGCGUGCUUGGGCGAGAGUAGUACUAGGAUGGGUGACCUCCCGGGAAGUCCUCGUGUUGCACCCCUUUUUAUUUUUUAAUUUUUUUUUAGCCUAAAACGAGUCUAAACUUGAAAACCUCAUAACUUUUGAACCGUGAGGAACUACGUCGCCCAUAGCACCAUUUCGGAGAGCCCCAGAAACCAUAAUGGGCGGUGAAUAGGGGGCGCAAUUUUUCGGGCUCAAAUUCAGCCGUUUUGACCCUCAAACGGGCUGCGGAAAGUUAUGGCACGUAAAAAAGAUCGAAAGCGGAUUCUCAAGGUGUUUUUGAUGCUUUCUUAACGCCGUUAACCUCGAUGCACUUUUUCGCUCGAAACAAAACGGCAAGAAAAUCAUGCGCGCCCCACGGCCUUACACUUGGAUUGGCCGCGAAAAGGAUAUAUAGAAACGAGAGUGAUGUACUGACGGGUGCGAUCAUACCAGCACUAAUGCACCGGAUCCCAUCAGAACUCCGCAGUUAAGCGUGCUUGGGCGAGAGUAGUACUAGGAUGGGUGACCUCCCGGGAAGUCCUCGUGUUGCACCCCUUUUUAUUUUUUAAUUUUUUUUAGCCUAAAACGAGUCUAAACUUGAAAACCUCAUAACUUUUGAACCGUGAGGAACUACGUCGCCCAUAGCACCAUUUCGGAGAGCCCCAGAAACCAUAAUGGGCGGUGAAUAGGGGGCGCAAUUUUUCGGGCUCAAAUUCAGCCGUUUUGACCCUCAAACGGGCUGCGGAAAGUUAUGGCACGUAAAAAAGAUCGAAAGCGGAUUCUCAAGGUGUUUUUGAUGCUUUCUUAACGCCGUUAACCUCGAUGCACUUUUUCGCUCGAAACAAAACGGCAAGAAAAUCAUGCGCGCCCACGGCCUUACACUUGGAUUGGCCGCGAAAAGGAUAUAUAGAAACGAGAGUGAUGUACUGACGGGUGCGAUCAUACCAGCACUAAUGCACCGGAUCCCAUCAGAACUCCGCAGUAAGCGUGCUUGGGCGAGAGUAGUACUAGGAUGGGUGACCUCCCGGGAAGUCCUCGUGUUGCACCCCUUUUUAUUUUUUAAUUUUUUUUUAGCCUAAAACGAGUCUAAACUUGAAAACCUCAUAACUUUUGAACCGUGAGGAACUACGUCGCCCAUAGCACCAUUUCGGAGAGCCCCAGAAACCAUAAUGGGCGGUGAAUAGGGGGCGCAAUUUUUCGGGCUCAAAUUCAGCCGUUUUGACCCUCAAACGGGCUGCGGAAAGUUAUGGCACGUAAAAAAGAUCGAAAGCGGAUUCUCAAGGUGUUUUUGAUGCUUUCUUAACGCCGUUAACCUCGAUGCACUUUUUCGCUCGAAACAAAACGGCAAGAAAAUCAUGCGCGCCCCACGGCCUUACACUUGGAUUGGCCGCGAAAAGGAUAUAUAGAAACGAGAGUGAUGUACUGACGGGUGCGAUCAUACCAGCACUAAUGCACCGGAUCCCAUCAGAACUCCGCAGUUAAGCGUGCUUGGGCGAGAGUAGUACUAGGAUGGGUGACCUCCCGGGAAGUCCUCGUGUUGCACCCCUUUUUAUUUUUAAUUUUUUUUUAGCCUAAAACGAGUCUAAACUUGAAAACCUCAUAACUUUUGAACCGUGAGGAACUACGUCGCCCAUAGCACCAUUUCGGAAAGCCCCAGAAACCAUAAUGGGCGGUGAAUAGGGGGCGCAAUUUUUCGGGCUCAAAUUCAGCCGUUUUGACCCUCAAACGGGCUGCGGAAAGUUAUGGCACGUAAAAAAGAUCGAAAGCGGAUUCUCAAGGUGUUUUUGAUGCUUUCUUAACGCCGUUAACCUCGAUGCACUUUUUCGCUCGAAACAAAACGGCAAGAAAAUCAUGCGCGCCCCACGGCCUUACACUUGGAUUGGCCGCGAAAAGGAUAUAUAGAAACGAGAGUGAUGUACUGACGGGUGCGAUCAUACCAGCACUAAUGCACCGGAUCCCAUCAGAACUCCGCAGUUAAGCGUGCUUGGCGCGAGAGUAGUACUAGGAUGGGUGACCUCCCGGGAAGUCCUCGUGUUGCACCCCUUUUUAUUUUUUAAUUUUUUUUUGCCUAAAACGAGUCUAAACUUGAAAACCUCAUAACUUUUGAACCGUGAGGAACUACGUCGCCCAUAGCACCAUUUCGGAGAGCCCCAGAAACCAUAAUGGGCGGUGAAUAGGGGGCGCAAUUUUUCGGGCUCAAAUUCAGCCGUUUUGACCCUCAAACGGGCUGCGGAAAGUUAUGGCACGUAAAAAAGAUCGAAAGCGGAUUCUCAAGGUGUUUUUGAUGCUUUCUUAACGCCGUUAACCUCGAUGCACUUUUUCGCUCGAAACAAAACGGCAAGAAAAUCAUGCGCGCCCACGGCCUUACACUUGGAUUGGCCGCGAAAAGGAUAUAUAGAAACGAGAGUGAUGUACUGACGGGUGCGAUCAUACCAGCACUAAUGCACCGGAUCCCAUCAGAACUCCGCAGUUAAGCGUGCUUGGGCGAGAGUAGUACUAGGAUGGGUGACCUCCCGGGAAGUCCUCGUGUUGCACCCCUUUUAUUUUUUAAUUUUUUUUUGCCUAAAACGAGUCUAAACUUGAAAACCUCAUAACUUUUGAACCGUGAGGAACUACGUCGCCCAUAGCACCAUUUCGGAGAGCCCCAGAAACCAUAAUGGGCGGGUGAAUAGGGGGCGCAAUUUUUCGGGCUCAAAUUCAGCCGUUUUGACCCUCAAACGGGCUGCGGAAAGUUAUGGCACGUAAAAAAGAUCGAAAGCGGAUUCUCAAGGUGUUUUUGAUGCUUUCUUAACGCCGUUAACCUCGAUGCACUUUUUCGCUCGAAACAAAACGGCAAGAAAAUCAUGCGCGCCCCACGGCCUUACACUUGGAUUGGCCGCGAAAAGGAUAUAUAGAAACGAGAGUGAUGUACUGACGGGUGCGAUCAUACCAGCACUAAUGCACCGGAUCCCAUCAGAACUCCGCAGUUAAGCGUGCUUGGGCGAGAGUAGUACUAGGAUGGGUGACCUCCCGGGAAGUCCUCGUGUUGCACCCCUUUUUUUUUAAAUUUUUUUUUAGCCUAAAACGAGUCUAAACUUGAAAACCUCAUAACUUUUGAACCGUGAGGAACUACGUCGCCCAUAGCACCAUUUCGGAGAGCCCCAGAAACCAUAAUGGGCGGGGAAUAGGGGGCGCAAUUUUUCGGGCUCAAAUUCAGCCGUUUUGACCCUCAAACGGGCUGCGGAAAGUUAUGUCACGUAAAAAAGAUCGAAAGCGGAUUCUCAAGGUGUUUUUGAUGCUUUCUUAACGCCGUUAACCUCGAUGCACUUUUUCGCUCGAAACAAAACGGCAAGAAAAUCAUGCGCGCCCCACGGCCUUACACUUGGAUUGGCCGCGAAAAGGAUAUAUAGAAACGAGAGUGAUGUACUGACGGGUGCGAUCAUACCAGCACUAAUGCACCGGAUCCCAUCAGAACUCCGCAGUUAAGCGUGCUUGGGCGAGAGUAGUACUAGGAUGGGUGACCUCCCGGGAAGUCCUCGUGUUGCACCCCUUUUUAUUUUUUAAUUUUUUUUUGCCUAAAACGAGUCUAAACUUGAAAACCUCAUAACUUUUGAACCGUGAGGAACUACGUCGCCCAUAGCACCAUUUCGGAGAGCCCCAGAAACCAUAAUGGGCGGUGAAUAGGGGGCGCAAUUUUUCGGGCUCAAAUUCAGCCGUUUUGACCCUCAAACGGGCUGCGGAAAGUUAUGGCACGUAAAAAAGAUCGAAAGCGGAUUCUCAAGGUGUUUUUGAUGCUUUCUUAACGCCGUUAACCUCGAUGCACUUUUUCGCUCGAAACAAAACGGCAAGAAAAUCAUGCGCGCCCCACGGCCUUACACUUGGAUUGGCCGCGAAAAGGAUAUAUAGAAACGAGAGUGAUGUACUGACGGGUGCGAUCAUACCAGCACUAAUGCACCGGAUCCCAUCAGAACUCCGCAGUUAAGCGUGCUUGGGCGAGAGUAGUACUAGGAUGGGUGACCUCCCGGGAAGUCCUCGUGUUGCACCCCUUUUUUUUUUUAAUUUUUUUUUAGCCUAAAACGAGUCUAAACUUGAAAACCUCAUAACUUUUGAACCGUGAGGAACUACGUCGCCCAUAGCACCAUUUCGGAGAGCCCCAGAAACCAUAAUGGGCGGUGAAUAGGGGGCGCAAUUUUUCGGGCUCAAAUUCAGCCGUUUUGACCCUCAAACGGGCUGCGGAAAGUUAUGGCACGUAAAAAAGAUCGAAAGCGGAUUCUCAAGGUGUUUUUGAUGCUUUCUUAACGCCGUUAACCUCGAUGCACUUUUUCGCUCGAAACAAAACGGCAAGAAAAUCAUGCGCGCCCCACGGCCUUACACUUGGAUUGGCCGCGAAAAGGAUAUAUAGAAACGAGAGUGAUGUACUGACGGGUGCGAUCAUACCAGCACUAAUGCACCGGAUCCCAUCAGAACUCCGCAGUUAAGCGUGCUUGGGCGAGAGUAGUACUAGGAUGGGUGACCUCCCGGGAAGUCCUCGUGUUGCACCCCUUUUUAUUUUUUAAUUUUUUUUUAGCCUAAAACGAGUCUAAACUUGAAAACCUCAUAACUUUUGAACCGUGAGGAACUACGUCGCCCAUAGCACCAUUUCGGAAGCCCAGAAACCAUAAUGGGCGGUGAAUAGGGGGCGCAAUUUUUCGGGCUCAAAUUCAGCCGUUUUGACCCUCAAACGGGCUGCGGAAAGUUAUGGCACGUAAAAAAGAUCGAAAGCGGAUUCUCAAGGUGUUUUUGAUGCUUUCUUAACGCCGUUAACCUCGAUGCACUUUUUCGCUCGAAACAAAACGGCAAGAAAAUCAUGCGCGCCCCACGGCCUUACACUUGGAUUGGCCGCGAAAAGGAUAUAUAGAAACGAGAGUGAUGUACUGACGGGUGCGAUCAUACCAGCACUAAUGCACCGGAUCCCAUCAGAACUCCGCAGUUAAGCGUGCUUGGGCGAGAGUAGUACUAGGAUGGGUGACCUCCCGGGAAGUCCUCGUGUUGCACCCCUUUUUAUUUUUUAAUUUUUUUUUAGCCUAAAACGAGUCUAAACUUGAAAACCUCAUAACUUUUGAACCGUGAGGAACUACGUCGCCCAUAGCACCAUUUCGGAAGCCCCAGAAACCAUAAUGGGCGGUGAAUAGGGGGCGCAAUUUUUCGGGCUCAAAUUCAGCCGUUUUGACCCUCAAACGGGCUGCGGAAAGUUAUGGCACGUAAAAAAGAUCGAAAGCGGAUUCUCAAGGUUGUUUUGAUGCUUUCUUAACGCCGUUAACCUCGAUGCACUUUUUCGCUCGAAACAAAACGGCAAGAAAAUCAUGCGCGCCCCACGGCCUUACACUUGGAUUGGCCGCGAAAAGGAUAUAUAGAAACGAGAGUGAUGUACUGACGGGUGCGAUCAUACCAGCACUAAUGCACCGGAUCCCAUCAGAACUCCGCAGUUAAGCGUGCUUGGGCGAGAGUAGUACUAGGAUGGGUGACCUCCCGGGAAGUCCUCGUGUUGCACCCCUUUUUAUUUUUUAAUUUUUUUUUAGCCUAAAACGAGUCUAAACUUGAAAACCUCAUAACUUUUGAACCGUGAGGAACUACGUCGCCCAUAGCACCAUUUCGGAAGCCCCAGAAACCAUAAUGGGCGGUGAAUAGGGGGCGCAAUUUUUCGGGCUCAAAUUCAGCCGUUUUGACCCUCAAACGGGCUGCGGAAAGUUAUGGCACGUAAAAAAGAUCGAAAGCGGAUUCUCAAGGUGUUUUUGAUGCUUUCUUAACGCCGUUAACCUCGAUGCACUUUUUCGCUCGAAACAAAACGGCAAGAAAAUCAUGCGCGCCCCACGGCCUUACACUUGGAUUGGCCGCGAAAAGGAUAUAUAGAAACGAGAGUGAUGUACUGACGGGUGCGAUCAUACCAGCACUAAUGCACCGGAUCCCAUCAGAACUCCGCAGUUAAGCGUGCUUGGGCGAGAGUAGUACUAGGAUGGGUGACCUCCCGGGAAGUCCUCGUGUUGCACACCUUUUUAUUUUAUAAUUUUUUUUAGCCUAAAACGAGUCUAAACAUGAAAACCUCAUAAAUUUUGAACCGUGAGGAACUACGUCGCCCAUAGCACCAUUGAAAAAGCCCCAGAAACCAUAAUGGGCGGUGAAUAGGGGGCGCAAUGUUUCGGGCUGAAAUUCAGCCGUUUUGACCCUCAAACGGGCUGCGGAAAGUUAUGGCACGUAAAAAAGAUCGAAAGCGGAUUCUCAAGGUGUUUUUGAUGCUUUCUUAACGCCGUUAACCUCGAUGCACUUUUUCGCUCGAAACAAAACGGCAAGAAAAUCAUGCGCGCCCCACGGCCUUACACUUGGAUUGGCCGCGAAAAGGAUAUAUAGAAACGAGAGUGAUGUACUGACGGGUGCGAUCAUACCAGCACUAAUGCACCGGAUCCCAUCAGAACUCCGCAGUUAAGCGUGCUUGGGCGAGAGUAGUACUAGGAUGGGUGACCUCCCGGGAAGUCCUCGUGUUGCACCCCUUUUUAUUUUUUAAUUUUUUUUUAGCCUAAAACGAGUCUAAACUUGAAAACCUCAUAACUUUUGAACCUUGAGGAACUACGUCGCCCAUAGCACCAUUUCGGAAAGCCCCAUAAAACCAUAAUGGGCGGUGAAUAGGGGGCGCAAUUUUUCGGGCUCAAAUUCAGCCGUUUUGACCCUCAAACGGGCUGCGGAAAGUUAUGGCACGUAAAAAAGAUCGAAAGCGGAUUUUCAAGGUGUUUUUGAUGCUUUCUUAACGCCGUUAACCUCGAUGCACUUUUUCGCUCGAAACAAAACGGCAAGAAAAUCAUGCGCGCCCCACGGCCUUACACUUGGAUUGGCCGCGAAAAGGAUAUAUAGAAACGAGAGUGAUGUACUGACGGGUGCGAUCAUACCAGCACUAAUGCACCGGAUCCCAUCAGAACUCCGCAGUUAAGCGUGCUUGGGCGAGAGAGUAGUACUAGGAUGGGUGACCUCCCGGGAAGUCCUCGUGUUGCACCCCUUUUUAUUUUUUAAUUUUUUUUUAGCCUAAAACGAGUCUAAACUUGAAAACCUCAUAACUUUUGAACCGUGAGGAACUACGUCGCCCAUAGCACCAUUUCGGAGAGCCCCAGAAACCAUAAUGGGCGGUGAAUAGGGGGCGCAAUUUUUCGGGCUCAAAUUCAGCCGUUUUGACCCUCAAACGGGCUGCGGAAAGUUAUGGCACGUAAAAAAGAUCGAAAGCGGAUUCUCAAGGUGUUUUUGAUGCUUUCUUAACGCCGUUAACCUCGAUGCACUUUUUCGCUCGAAACAAAACGGCAAAAAAAAUCAUGUGGGCCCCACGGCCUUACACUUGGAUUGGCCGCGAAAAGGAUAUAUAGAAACGAGAGUGAUGUACUGACGGGUGCGAUCAUACCAGCACUAAUGCACCGGAUCCCAUCAGAACUCCGCAGUUAAGCGUGCUUGGGCGAGAGUAGUACUAGGAUGGGUGACCUCCCGGGAAGUCCUCGUGUUGCACCCCUUUUUAUUUUUUAAUUUUUUUUUUUGCCUAAAACGAGUCUAAACUUGAAAACCUCAUAACUUUUGAACCGUGAGGAACUACGUCGCCCAUAGCACCAUUUCGGAAAGCCCCAGAAACCAUAAUGGGCGGUGAAUAGGGGGCGCAAUUUUUCGGGCUCAAAUUCAGCCGUUUUGACCCUCAAACGGGCUGCGGAAAGUUAUGGCACGUAAAAAAGAUCGAAAGCGGAUUCUCAAGGUGUUUUGAUGCUUUCUUAACGCCGUUAACCUCGAUGCACUUUUUCGCUCGAAACAAAACGGCAAGAAAAUCAUGCGCGCCCCACGGCCUUACACUUGGAUUGGCCGCGAAAAGGAUAUAUAGAAACGAGAGUGAUGUACUGACGGGUGCGAUCAUACCAGCACUAAUGCACCGGAUCCCAUCAGAACUCCGCAGUUAAGCGUGCUUGGGCGAGAGUAGUACUAGGAUGGGUGACCUCCCGGGAAGUCCUUGUGUUGCACCCCUUUUAAUUUUUUAAUUUUUUUUUAGCCUAAAACGAGUCUAAACUUGAAAACCUCAUAACUUUUGAACCGUGAGGAACUACGUCGCCCAUAGCACCAUUUCGGAGAGCCCCAGAAACCAUAAUGGGCGGUGAAUAGGGGCGCAAUUUUUCGGGCUCAAAUUCAGCCGUUUUGACCCUCAAACGGGCUGCGGAAAGUUAUGGCACGUAAAAAAGAUCGAAAGCGGAUUCUCAAGGUGCUUUUGAUGCUUUCUUAACGCCGUUAACCUCGAUGCACUUUUUCGCUCGAAACAAAACGGCAAGAAAAUCAUGCGCGCCCCACGGCCUUACACUUGGAUUGGCCGCGAAAAGGAUAUAUAGAAACGAGAGUGAUGUACUGACGGGUGCGAUCAUACCAGCACUAAUGCACCGGAUCCCAUCAGAACUCCGCAGUUAAGCGUGCUUGGGCGAGAGUAGUACUAGGAUGGGUGACCUCCCGGGAAGUCCUCGUGUUGCACCCCUUUUAUUUUUUAAUUUUUUUUUGCCUAAAACGAGUCUAAACUUGAAAACCUCAUAACUUUUGAACCGUGAGGAACUACGUCGCCCAUAGCACCAUUUCGGAGAGCCCCAGAAACCAUAAUGGGCGGUGAAUAGGGGGCGCAAUUUUUCGGGCUCAAAUUCAGCCGUUUUGACCCUCAAACGGGCUGCGGGGAAAGUUAUGGCACGUAAAAAAGAUCGAAAGCGGAUUCUCAAGGUGCUUUUGAUGCUUUCUUAACGCCGUUAACCUCGAUGCACUUUUUCGCUCGAAACAAAACGGCAAGAAAAUCAUGCGCGCCCCACGGCCUUACACUUGGAUUGGCCGCGAAAAGGAUAUAUAGAAACGAGAGUGAUGUACUGACGGGUGCGAUCAUACCAGCACUAAUGCACCGGAUCCCAUCAGAACUCCGCAGUAAGCGUGCUUGGGCGAGAGUAGUACUAGGAUGGGUGACCUCCCGGGAAGUCCUCGUGUUGCACCCCUUUUUAUUUUUUAAUUUUUUUUUAGCCUAAAACGAGUCUAAACUUGAAAACCUCAUAACUUUUGAACCGUGAGGAACUACGUCGCCCAUAGCACCAUUUCGGAAAGCCCCAGAAACCAUAAUGGGCGGUGAAUAGGGGGCGCAAUUUUUCGGGCUCAAAUUCAGCCGUUUUGACCCUCAGACGGGCUGCGGAAAGUUAUGGCACGUAAAAAAGAUCGAAAGCGGAUUCUCAAGUGUUUUGUGUGCUUUCUUAACGCCGUUAACCUCGAUGCACUUUUUCGCUCGAAACAAAACGGCAAGAAAAUCAUGCGCGCCCCACGGCCUUACACUUGGAUUGGCCGCGAAAAGGAUAUAUAGAAACGAGAGUGAUGUACUGACGGGUGCGAUCAUACCAGCACUAAUGCACCGGAUCCCAUCAGAACUCCGCAGUUAAGCGUGCUUGGGCGAGAGUAGUACUAGGAUGGGUGACCUCCCGGGAAGUCCUCGUGUUGCACCCCUUUUUUUUUUUAAUUUUUUUUUAGCCUAAAACGAGUCUAAACUUGAAAACCUCAUAACUUUUGAACCGUGAGGAACUACGUCGCCCAUAGCACCAUUUCGGAAAGCCCCAGAAACCAUAAUGGGCGGUGAAUAGGGGGCGCAAUUUUUCGGGCUCAAAUUCAGCCGUUUUGACCCUCAAACGGGCUGCGGAAAGUUAUGGCACGUAAAAAAGAUCGAACUAUGGAUUCUGAAGGUGUUUUUGAUGCUUUCUUAACGCCGUUAACCUCGAUGCACUUUUUCGCUCGAAACAAAACGGCAAGAAAAUCAUGCGCGCCCCACGGCCUUACACUUGGAUUGGCCGCGAAAAGGAUAUAUAGAAACAAGAGUGAUGUACUGUCGGGUGCGAUCAUACCAGCACUAAUGCACCGGAUCCCAUCAGAACUCCGCAGUUAAGCGUGCUUGGGCGAGAGUAGUACUAGGAUGGGUGACCUCCCGGGAAGUCCUCGUGUUGCACCCCUUUUUUUUUUUAAUUUUUUUUUGCCUAAAACGAGUCUAAACUGAAAACCCAUAACUUUUGAACCGUGAGGAACUACGUCGCCCAUAGCACCAUUUCGGAAGAGCCCCAGAAACCAUAAUGGGCGGUGAAUAGGGGGCGCAAUUUUUCGGGCUCAAAUUCAGCCGUUUUGACCCUCAAACGGGCUGCGGAAAGUUAUGGCACGUAAAAAAGAUCGAAAGCGGAUUCUCAAGGUGUUUUUGAUGCUUUCUUAACGCCGUUAACCUCGAUGCACUUUUUUUCGCUCGAAACAAAACGGCAAGAAAAUCAUGCGCGCCCCACGGCCUUACACUUGGAUUGGCCGCGAAAAGGAUAUAUAGAAACGAGAGUGAUGUACUGACGGGUGCGAUCAUACCAGCACUAAUGCACCGGAUCCCAUCAGAACUCCGCAGUCAAGCGUGCUUGGGCGAGAGUAGUACUAGGAUGGGUGACCUCCCGGGAAGUCCUCGUGUUGCACCCCUUUUUAUUUUUUUAAUUUUUUUUUAGCCUAAAACGAGUCUAAACUUGAAAACCUCAUAACUUUUGAACCGUGAGGAACUACGUCGCCCAUAGCACCAUUUCGGAGAGCCCCAGAAACCAUAAUGGGCGGUGAAUAGGGGGCGCAAUUUUUCGGGCUCAAAUUCAGCCGUUUUGACCCUCAAACGGGCUGCGGAAAGUUAUGGCACGUAAAAAAGAUCGAAAGCGGAUUCUCAAGUGUUUUUGAUGCUUUCUUAACGCCGUUAACCUCGAUGCACUUUUUCGCUCGAAACAAAACGGCAAGAAAAUCAUGCGCGCCCCACGGCCUUACACUUGGAUUGGCGCGAAAAGGAUAUAUAGAAACGAGAGUGAUGUACUGACGGGUGCGAUCAUACCAGCACUAAUGCACCGGAUCCCAUCAGAACUCCGCAGUUAAGCGUGCUUGGGCGAGAGUAGUACUAGGAUGGGUGACCUCCCGGGAAGUCCUCGUGUGUUGCACCCCUUUUUAUUUUUAAUUUUUUUUAGCCUAAAACGAGUCUAAACUUGAAAACCUCAUAACUUUUGAACCGUGAGGAACUACGUCGCCCAUAGCACCAUUUCGGAAAGCCCCAGAAACCAUAAUGGGCGGUGAAUAGGGGGCGCAAUUUUUCGGGCUCAAAUUCAGCCGUUUUGACCCUCAAACGGGCUGCGGAAAGUUAUGGCACGUAAAAAAGAUCGAAAGCGGAUUCUCAAGGUGUUUUUGAUGCUUUCUUAACGCCGUUAACCUCGAUGCACUUUUUCGCUCGAAACAAAACGGCAAGAAAAUCAUGCGCGCCCACGGCCUUACACUUGGAUUGGCCGCGAAAAGGAUAUAUAGAAAGAAACGAGUGAUGUACUGACGGGUGCGAUCAUACCAGCACUAAUGCACCGGAUCCCAUCAGAACUCCGCAGUUAAGCGUGCUUGGGCGAGAGUAGUACUAGGAUGGGUGACCUCCCGGGAAGUCCUCGUGUUGCACCCCUUUUUAUUUUUUAAUUUUUUUUUAGCCUAAACGAGUCUAAACUUGAAAACCUCAUAACUUUUGAACCGUGAGGAACUACGUCGCCCAUAGCACCAUUUCGGAAAGCCCCAGAAACCAUAAUGGGCGGGUGAAUAGGGGGCGCAAUUUUUCGGGCUCAAAUUCAGCCGUUUUGACCCUCAAACGGGCUGCGGAAAGUUAUGGCACGUAAAAAAGAUCGAAAGCGGAUUCUCAAGGUGUUUUGAUGCUUUCUUAACGCCGUUAACCUCGAUGCACUUUUUCGCUCGAAACAAACGGCAAGAAAAUCAUGCGCGCCCCACGGCCUUACACUUGGAUUGGCCGCGAAAAGGAUAUAUAGAAACGAGAGUGAUGUACUGACGGGUGCGAUCAUACCAGCACUAAUGCACCGGAUCCAUCAGAACUCCGCAGUUAAGCGUGCUUGGGCGAGAGUAGUACUAGGAUGGGUGACCUCCCGGGAAGUCCUCGUGUUGCACCCCUUUUUAUUUUUUAAUUUUUUUUUAGCCUAAAACGAGUCUAAACUUGAAAACCCCAUAACUUUUGAACCGUGAGGAACUACGUCGCCCAUAGCACCAUUUCGGAAAGCCCCAGAAACCAUAAUGGGCGGUGAAUAGGGGGCGCAAUUUUUCGGGCUCAAAUUCAGCCGUUUUGACCCUCAAACGGGCUGCGGAAAGUUAUGGCAGAAAAAAAAAGACCGAAAGCGGAUUUUCAAGGUGUUUUUGAUGCUUUCUUAACGCCGUUAACCUCGAUGCACUUUUUCGCUCGAAACAAAACGGCAAGAAAAUCAUGCGCGCCCCACGGCCUUACACUUGGAUUGGCCGCGAAAAGGAUAUAUAGAAACGAGAGUGAUGUACUGUCGGGUGCGAUCAUACCAGCACUAAUGCACCGGAUCCCAUCAGAACUCCGCAGUUAAGCGUGCUUGGGCGAGAGUAGUACUAGGAUGGGUGACCUCCCGGGAAGUCCUCGUGUUGCACCCCUUUUUAUUUUUUAAUUUUUUUAGCCUAAAACGAGUCUAAACUUGAAAACCUCAUAACUUUUGAACCGUGAGGAACUACGUCGCCCAUAGCACCAUUUCGGAAAGCCCCAGAAACCAUAAUGGGCGGUGAAUAGGGGGCGCAAUUUUCGGGCUCAAAUUCAGCCGUUUUGACCCUCAAACGGGCUGCGGAAAGUUAUGGCACGUAAAAAAGAUCGAAAGCGGAUUCUCAAGGUGUUUUUAAUGCUUUCUUAACGCCGUUAACCUCGAUGCACUUUUUCGCUCGAAACAAAACGGCAAGAAAUCAUGCGCGCCCCACGGCCUUACACUUGGAUUGGCCGCGAAAAGGAUAUAUAGAAACGAGAGUGAUGUACUGACGGGUGCGAUCAUACCAGCACUAAUGCACCGGAUCCCAUCAGAACUCCGCAGUUAAGCGUGCUUGGGCGAGAGUAGUAGUACUAGGAUGGGUGACCUCCCGGGAAGUCCUCGUGUUGCACCCCUUUUAUUUUUUAAUUUUUUUUUGCCUAAAACGAGUCUAAACUUGAAAAACCUCAUAACUUUUGAACCGUGAGGAACUACGUCGCCCAUAGCACCAUUUCGGAAAGCCCCAGAAACCAUAAUGGGCGGUGAGGUGAAUAGGGGGCGCAAUUUUUCGGGCUCAAAUUCAGCCGUUUGACCCUCAAACGGGCUGCGGGCGGAAAGUUAUGGCACGUAAAAAAGAUCGAAAGCGGAUUCUCAAGGUGUUUUUGAUGCUUUCUAACGCCGUUAACCUCGAUGCACUUUUUCGCUCGAAACAAAACGGCAAGAAAAUCAUGCGGCCCCACGGCCUUACACUUGGAUUGGCCGCGAAAAGGAUAUAUAGAAACGAGAGUGAUGUACUGACGGGUGCGAUCAUACCAGCACUAAUGCACGGAUCCCAUCAGAACUCCGCAGUUAAGCGUGCUUGGGCGAGAGUAGUACUAGGAUGGGGACCUCCCGGGAAGUCCUCGUGUUGCACCCCUUUUUAUUUUUUAAUUUUUUUUUAGCCUAAAACGAGUCUAAACUUGAAAACCUCAUAACUUUUGAACCGUGAGGAACUACGUCGCCCAUAGCACCAUUUCGGAAAGCCCCAGAAACCAUAAUGGCGGGUGAUGAAGGGGCGCAAUUUUCGGGCUCAAAUUCAGCCGUUUUGACCCUCAAACGGGCUGCGGAAAGUUAUGGCACGUAAAAAAGAUCGAAAGCGGAUUCUCAAGGUGUUUUUGAUGCUUUCUUAACGCCGUUAACCUCGAUGCACUUUUUCGCUCGAAACAAAACGGCAAGAAAAUCAUGCGCGCCCCCACGGCCUUACACUUGGAUUGGCCGCGCGAAAAGGAUAUAUAGAAACGAGAGUGAUGUACUGUCGGGUGCGAUCAUACCAGCACUAAUGCACCGGAUCCCAUCAGAACUCCGCAGUUAAGCGUGCUUGGGCGAGAGUAGUACUAGGAUGGGUGACCUCCCGGGAAGUCCUCGUGUUGCACCCCUUUUUAUUUUUUAAUUUUUUUUAGCCUAAAACGAGUAUAAACUUGAAAACCUGAAACUUUUGAACCGUGAGGAACUACGUCGCCCAUAGCACCAUUUCGGAGAGCCCCAGAAACCAUAAUGGGCGGUGAAUAGGGGGCGCAAUUUUUCGGGCUCAAAUUCAGCCGUUUUGACCCUCAAACGGGCUGCGGAAAGUUAUGGCACGUAAAAAAGAUCGAAAGCGGAUUCUCAAGGUGUUUUUGAUGCUUUCUUAACGCCGUUAACCUCGAUGCACUUUUUCGCUCGAAACAAAACGGCAAAAAAAAUCAUGUGGGCCCCACGGCCUUACACUUGGAUUGGCCGGGGAAAGGAUAUAUAGAAACGAGAGUGAUGUACUGACGGGUGCGAUCAUACCAGCACUAAUGCACCGGAUCCCAUCAGAACUCCGCAGUGAAGCGUGCUUGGGCGAGAGUAGUAUUAGGAUGGGUGACCUCCCGGGAAGUCCUCGUGUUGCACCCCUUUUUAUUUUAUAAUUUUUUUUUAGCCUAAAACGAGUCUAAACUUGAAAACCUCAUAACUUUUGAACCGUGAGGAACUACGUCGCCCAUAGCACCAUUUCGGAAAGCCCCAGAAACCAUAAUGGUGGUGCGGUGAAUAGGGGGCAAUCGCAAUUUUUCGGGCUCAAAUUCAGCCGUUUUGACCCUCAAACGGGCUGCGGAAAGUUAUGGCACGUAAAAAAGAUCGAAAGCGGAUUCUCAAGGUGUUUUUGAUGCUUUCUUAACGCCGUUAACCUCGAUGCACUUUUUCGCUCGAAACAAAACGGCAAGAAAAUCAUGCGCGCCCCCACGGCCUUACACUUGGAUUGGCCGCGAAAAGGAUAUAUAGAAACGAGAGUGAUGUACUGACGGGUGCGAUCAUACCAGCACUAAUGCACCGGAUCCCAUCAGAACUCAGCAGUUAAGCGUGCUUGGGCGAGAGUAGUACUAGGAUGGGUGACCUCCCGGGAAGUCCUG
rnacentral:lncRNA from 1 species